CAGCCGCCGCGGGAAAACGAAGGGUGCAAGCGUUACUCGGAAUUACUGGGCGUAAAGCGUGCGUAGGUGGUGGUUUAAGUCCGUUGUGAAAGCCCUGGGCUCAACCUGGGAAUUGCAGUGGAUACUGGGUCACUAGAGUGUGGUAGAGGAUAGUGGAAUUUCCGGUGUAGCAAUGAAAUGCGUAGAGAUCGGAAGGAACAUCUGUGGCGAAGGCGACUAUCUGGGCCAACACUGACACUGAGGCACGAAAGCGUGGGGAGCAAACAGGAUUAGAUACCCCCGUAGUCCCUGUCUCUUAUAC
rnacentral:rRNA from 1 species